rnacentral:lncRNA from 1 species
GGGGAACACUAUGAAGCCAGCAGGAAGAAGGAGGUGUGUAUGCAGACUGACAUAGAGGGUUACCUGCUACCUGCAAGGGAGCAGUGCCUGCUGCUGUAAUCCUAAGUACGAUCUGACUUCUCAGCAAGGAUAAAUACGCAUAUGAACUAAGAAAGCAAAAGUUCCAGGUGGUCCAUCAUGGUAGAGAUGUCACGGCAGCUAACACGUGAGGCAGCUGGCCACAUUAUGUCUGAAGUCAGGAAGCAAGAGAGCAAAGAAUGCUGGAUCUUACUCGGAAUGAAAUUAAGUGGAUCUAAGAGAAGAGUUAGCAGGGCCUUUCCUUCUUCAUCCUUCAGCCGUUGACUACUGCGGAGGGCCAAAAUCUAAGGAGACCCAGGAC